UCUCCGUUGGUGAACCAGCGGAGGGAUCAUUACAGAGUUGCAAAACUCCCAAACCAUUGUGAACGUUACCUAUCCCGUUGCUUCGGCGGGCGGCCCGGGCCCCGCGCCCGGCGCCCCCCGGCCCCCCGUGGGCGCCCGCCGGAGGUAAACCAAACCCUUGAAUUGCAUGGCCUCUCUGAGUCUUCUGUACUGAAUAAGUCAAAGCUUUCAACAACGGAUCUCUUGGUUCUG
rnacentral:misc_RNA from 1 species